rnacentral:rRNA from 1 species
CGAAUGGCUCAUUAUAUAAGUUAUCGUUUAUUUGAUAGUGCCUUACUACUUGGAUAACCGUGGUAAUUCUAGAGCUAAUACAUGCUAAAAGACCCGACUUUGGAAGGGUUGUAUUUAUUAGAUUAAAAACCAAUGCCCUCUGGGCUCACUGGUGAAUCAUGAUAACUUCGCGAAUCGCAUGGCCUUGUGCCGGCGAUGGCUCAUUCAAAUUUCUUCCCUAUCAACUUUCGAUGUUUGGGUAGUGGCCAAACAUGGUUGCAACGGGUAACGGAGGGUUAGGGCUCGACCCCGGAGAAGGAGCCUGAGAAACGGCUACUACAUCCAAGGAAGGCAGCAGGCGCGCAAAUUACCCAAUCCCGAUUCGGGGAGGUAGUGACAAUAAAUACUGAUACAGGGCUCUUUUGGGUCUUGUAAUUGGAAUGAGUACAAUUUAAAUCCCUUAACGAGGAACAAUUAGAGGGCAAGUCUGGUGCCAGCAGCCGCGGUAAUUCCAGCUCUAAUAGCGUAUAUUAAAGUUGUUGUGGUUAAAAAGCUCGUAGUUGAACCUUGGGCCUGGCUGGCGGGUCCGCCUCACCGCGUGUACUUCGCCGGCCGGGCCUUUCCCUCUGUGGAACCCUAUGCCCUUCACUGGGUGUGGUGGGGAAACAGGACUUUUACUUUGAAAAAAUUAGAGUGCUCCAGGCAGGCCUAUGCUCGAAUAUAUUAGCAUGGAAUAAUAAAAUAGGACGUGUGGUUCUAUUUUGUUGGUUUCUAGGACCGCCGUAAUGAUUAAUAGGGACAGCCGGGGGCAUCAGUAUUCAAUUGUCAGAGGUGAAAUUCUUGGAUUUAUUGAAGACUAACUACUGCGAAAGCAUUUGCCAAGAAUGUUUUCAUUAAUCAGGAACGAAAGUUAGGGGAUCGAAGACGAUCAGAUACCGUCGUAGUCUUAACCAUAAACUAUGCCGACUAGGGAUCGGACGAUGUUAUUACUUGACUCGUUCGGCACCUUACGAGAAAUCAAA